AGAAAAUUCUAAAAAUUAUUAAAUAUCUGCUAAAUUUAUCAUCAUGCCAGAAAUUCGAGUUUCAACGCUCCUAAUAGUAAUAAUUUUAUCCGCUAGGGGUGCUGAAAUUCGUUUUAAUUUUUUGGCGCCGAAUGAAAAUUAAAAAUUUUCGCUUGUCUUUUUUACCGCUAGAGGCGCUGAUUUAUAUAUUACAAUUGCUCGAAGCAAGUUCCUCGGAAUGCUUUCAAUAUAUUGUAACACUGUCAUUAUUUCAUAAAUAAUGGGUUAUUUUAAAUUAUUGUCUAUAAAAAAUAUACCAGUCAUCGGGGACCAAAGAGAGGUAACACAUUAUUUCUUAUCCGGCUAGAUUCGUUUUAUAUAUUUAUUUAUUUAAUUAUUUAUGUUAUUGAAUUUCUGUUACUUAAAAAACCAUUGAAUAAAUUUGUGAAAACUAAAUCGCUAUUUCCUUGCAAUAAAUAUUUAUGCCAAGAAUUACUUUUCAAACAUGUAAAUGUAUGUACGUACAUCUGCAUGACCCACAUAUAAUACAUAUAUAUGUAUAUAUAACAUUGCCACAAGCAUGCGCAGUUUACUAGCGCCGAGGUGCGCAACAUAAAUACAAGUACCGUUGGUUGUUGAACAUAAAUAUUUGUUUUACUUUAUUUAUUAUUGAUCAAUGAAAUAGUACGAUUGUUGUCUAUCGCUUGUUACAAGUGACAGUGUUAAGGUUAUUGUCGCUGUCAAAGUUUGUAAACAAAAAAUUAUAAACUUGAUUUCAUUGUUAUGGUCAUCUCGUAAUUUAAAAACAAAAAAACUAUGAUUAUUAAUUAAAUAUUGGCUUGCAGAUGAAAAUAUCGUCACAGAGAAAAGUUGUCAUCUCCAAAAGUUGAUGUUAAAGUUGAAAAAAAUCUUAAGACAGUUGAAGUAAAUAAAAAAGCUACUUAACCACUAACACAAUUUAAAGUUGAUCAAGUUCAUAAUACAGUUAUUUAUUUUUUCAGAUUUCCAUUAGAUAUUUAUU